UUGUUGUCGUCGUUACGGCACCUUCUGUUGAAAAUUGCACUGCCGGAGCCCGAGCGCACUCUUCAGCUAUUUGUUAUAAUUAUGGAAUAUGAGCGCCUACUUUGUUACCUACUUUUAAUUAAAUCUCUCGACACUUCAGCUUUGGUGGUUCGCCAACAACACCCCCUCCCCCAGGCCUGCACACACACACACACACACACACACACACACGGUCCCCUCUUUAUUAUUUUAAUUUGUAAAGAAAAGUAAAUUAACGAAAAGGGAAGUGCGCUUUCGACCAGUAAUUUCUGUUGCGGGCGGGACGAGCCCUCCAGCAUCAAAACAGAAGACAGCGCGAUGUCGGUACCUGCGGUGACCACGCCUCGUACUUGAAGGUAGAGAGUCUGCAAAAUGUCAGCUGUUUGUAGUGGUGACCUUUUAAGCAGGAACAGAAAGAGCCAAUAGAAGACGCUCGUGUCGCUUUAAGAGUACAGACUGCCAAAAAGGAAAGCGGAGUCAUGCAGGCGGCAGUUUCCAUGUCGCAAAGAAGUGUUUUCGAGGACGAAAAAAUUAGAAGGAAGUCAGAACUUUAGUGUCAGGAAUUUCUUUUCCAAAACAGGUGUCCGACUUAUUUUGAAACGCGAGCCAUCAGGCGGCAUCACCCCCAAAGGCGAGAUUGUUGAGUAAAUGGAAAAACAUAUUACGGCAUUAAAGGAAGAUUGUUUAGAAAAGGAAGACGGAGCCGAGGUGUAGAGGAAGCCUGUUUAUUAACACUGGACACCUCUUAUCGCACAAAAUUCCAGAUGGACAGGCCUUCAAUAAUUCAUACGUGCUGUCAAUUGGCAUCACCACCUUGAUUGGGAUUCCCGAUUUGAACAACAAAAAAAAAAAAAA